GACGAACGCUGGCGGUGUGCCUAAUACAUGCAAGUCGAGCGGACAGAUGGGAGCUUGCUCCCUGAUGUUAGCGGCGGACGGGUGAGUAACACGUGGGUAACCUGCCUGUAAGACUGGGAUAACUCCGGGAAACCGGGGCUAAUACCGGAUGGUUGUUUGAACCGCAUGGUUCAAACAUAAACGGUGGCUUCGGCUACCACUUACAGAUGGACCCGGGGCGCAUUAGCUAGUUGGUGAGGUAACGGCUCACCAAGGCAACGAUGCGUAGCCGACCUGAGAGGGUGAUCGGCCACACUGGGACUGAGACACGGCCCAGACUCCUACGGGAGGCAGCAGUAGGGAAUCUUCCGCAAUGGACGAAAGUCUGACGGAGCAACGCCGCGUGAGUGAUGAAGGUUUUCGGAUCGUAAAGCUCUGUUGUUAGGGAAGAACAAGUACCGUUCGAAUAGGGCGGUACCUUGACGGUACCUAACCAGAAAGCCACGGCUAACUACGUGCCAGCCGCCGCCGUAA
rnacentral:rRNA from 1 species